ACGGUUAGCGAAAUCUAUGGCAACAGUUAUUUUAGAAAAAAUAUUUUGGUUCUGAUUUUUAUCACUAGAAAUAUAUUUUCCUCCUAAACAAUAUAUUUCCCUCCUAAACAAUAUUGUCUCACAUAAAAAAAUCUAAAAGAAAAAAAAACCCUAUUUCCGCUCUCAACGAAAUGGCGAGGAACGACGAAGCAACAGGAAACGAUUGCAGCAGUUAUUCAGAAGUUUUAGCGAGCUUUUGGUGAUGAAACAAGAGGGAACGAUUUCUAAGCUCUUGAUAACAGGCUCUUGAACAACGAAGCUUUUGGUGAAGCUCGUUGGUUCUAUUGGACAGCUAGGGUCAACUAUAAUUCUUCCAUAUAAAGGUGAAUAAUGUUCUGUUGCAGUGUGGUGUGACUACUUAAGUUUUGUACACUUUCUGCAUCUGGAAUUUCUAAGGUGAUGAAAUCGAAGAAGGCGAUGAAAGCAGUAGCGAAGACUUGACAUAUGAGCUGAAGUAUUGAUGUUCUAGAAAUCAUAUAUUUUUGAAGAUUGAAAAUUGUGUGGUGCAUGUGUUUCACCUUUUUUGAAUGCUAUAAAAAGAUUUGUAUAUUUUGCUUUUAUUGAUAUUAGAAUUACGGAUCUUGAAUUCUAAUUUUGGUAAUGAACAUUUUUUCUCGUGAAC